AAUGAACGUUGGCGGCGUGGAUUAGGCAUGCAAGUCGAGCGAGAAAUUUUAUUCAGAUACUUCGGUUGAUGAAUAGGAUGGACAGCGGCGAAAGGGAGAGUAACAGGUAGAUACGUGCCCAAGGGUCUAGGAUAGCCAUGCGAAAGCGUGAGUAAUACUGGAUAAUGUCUCCGGACCAAAGAUUUAUUGCCCUUGGAGCGGUCUGCUUCCUAUUAGAUUGUUGGUGGGGUAAUGGCCUACCAAGUCGAAGAUGGGUAGCGGGUGUGAGAGCAUGGCCCGUCUCACUGGGACUGAGAUACUGCCCAGACACCUACGGGUGGCUGCAGUCGAGAAUCUUCCGCAAUGGGCGAAAGCCUGACGGAGCGACGCCGCGUGAUGGACGAAGGCCCUCGGGUUGUAAACAUCUGUCGUAGGGGAGGAAAUUUUGACCGAUCCUAGGAGGAAGUACAGGCUAAGUUCGUGCCAGCAGCCGCGGUAAAGUCACAUGU
rnacentral:rRNA from 1 species